rnacentral:sRNA from 1 species
UGUAGCGUUCACAGUAGACGUUUGUUUGGCUAACUGCAGACAAUUGUAUUUUUACUGAGAGUUUAUUAUUGUAAGUUUUGUGUUUCUGUUGGGGGACUUUAAGUGUGUCUUUAAAUUGAUGUCAUUUAUAAAGUAAUUGACAUAAAUAUGUCUCUUCUCAGAGGGUGUCUCAAAUCAGAAGUGAUGUGGACAAGGAGUUUUUCCAGAAAAAUGUGAGCAAAGUCCACUCAAAAGGUGUCAGUCGACCAGCUCGACCCGAUGGUCUGACCCAGCGGUCGUCUGAUGGAGGGAUGGGCAGUCAGUUGUCCAUCGCGUCCAGUGCCACGGUGAAGCCCUGGAAGAAACACAACAACAAGAACAAGAAAGAAAAGCUACGCAGGGUGCACCGAGACCUUGAUGUUCAUGGUUAAUGGAGUUAUUUUUUUUAGGUCUCAAAAUCUCAUGGUUAAUAGAUAAUGUAUUUUAUUUCGUGUCGUUGCGAUUCGAAAACUGUAUACAAUCACUUUGUUUGUAAGAAGAAUUUACCUUGACCUACUUUCAAUGUUAGGUACAUUGAUUCAUUUCAUGCUGAUACAAUUGUGGAUAGCUGCAUGUUUUUGGGUUGUUUGCUUUAGGACAAGAGAAA